AGGGAACGCUGGCGGUAGGCCUAACACAUGCAAGUCGAACGGGAGCACAGUAAGAGCUUUCUCGGUCGGGUGGAGAGUGGCGGAGGGGUGAGGAAUACAUCGGAAUCUAGUUUUUCGGAGGGGAUAAAGUAGGGAAAUAUACGGUAAUACAGAAUACGUCAUACGGGUGGGAGCGGGGGUUAUUAGGACAGUGCGCGAUGGCAGGAGGCGAUGUCGGAUUAGCCUGUUGGCGGGGUAGAGGCAUACCAAGGGGACGAUCCGUAGCCGGACCGACCGGAUGAUCGGCCACACUGGAAUUGAGACACGGUCCAGACUCCGACGCAAGGAACCAGCGGCGAAUAUUGCGAAAUGAGCGCAGGCCGGAUCCAGCAAUACCGCAUAGGUGCAGAAGGCCUUCGGCUUCUAAAGCCCUAUUGUUAGGAACGAAAAGCCACCCAUCAGUAUGCGCCUGUUCUGACGGUACCCACAGAAUAAGCACCGGCUAACUUCGUG
rnacentral:rRNA from 1 species